UAUAUUCACCUGCAUUUACCCCCCAAAACUGAAACGCUAAUUAGCUGCUAAUGUGGCUAUCCUAGUAACUUCAAGAGCCAGUGUCUUUGAAAAGACCCUACAACAAGGUACAUAAUGGUUCAAGUCUGAUAAACAAGCCUACUUUCUCAAAGUUCUUUUCCUACCAACUGUAUGGGAUGAACAGGAAAAUCUGUUAAGUGUGUACUAUAAAUGUGGUAACGGUUUGACAUCUGUGAUAUUCUCUGAAGUUGCAGAUGCAGAGGACUUGAGGCCAUGUGCCACCUCAAGCCAGAGCGACAUUAGUCCAAGUGGCAGCCAGGAAGAAGCUGGCCAAGACAGAGCAUCAGAAUCAGACCAAGAGCUGCCAUCCCUGCUUGAUGAGCCUGUGGCUUCUGAGAUGCCUGCUGGAUACAUUAAAGAUCUUCAAGCAGUGGAGAUGAGGAUAAUGGUGAAACUGGA